rnacentral:ncRNA from 1 species
GCGCCGGUGCCGUCUACACCUGCGCGCUGUCUGUUGGCAUGCCGCCCGACACGGCACGGGGCGGUCCAGACGAGAGGA